AAUAUUGCACAAUGGGGGAAACCCUGAUGCAGCGACGCCGCGUGAGCGAAGAAGGCCUUCGGUUCGUAAAGCUCUGUCCUAAGGGAAGAAGAAGACGGUACUUUAAGAGGAAGCCCAGGUUAACUACGUCCCAGCAGCCGCGGUAAUACGUAGGGUGCGAGCGUUAUCCGGAAUUACUGGGCGUAAAGGGUGCGCAGUCGGCCAUUUAAGUCAGAUGUGAAGGGCUACGGCUUAACAGUAGUUAGCAUUUGAAACUAGAAGGCUUGAGUGCAGUAGAGGAGAGUGGAAUUCCUAGUGUAGCUGUGAAAUGCGUAGAUAUUAGGAGGAACACCAAUGGCGAAGGCGACUCUCUGGACUGCAACUGACGCUGAGGCACGAAAGCGUGGGUAGCGAACAGG
rnacentral:rRNA from 1 species